GGGACCUGGCGUGCGCUAGCCUGUCUCGUGGACCGAGACAGGUGAGGGGCGGGCGGGCAUGGCGGAGCAGUGGGAUCUGGACGAGGAAGGCAUCCGCCGCCUGGGGGCGCUGAGUCUGGAGCAGCCGGAAUUGGUGGAGUCUCUUUCAUUGCAGGGAUCUUAUGCUGGAAAAAUUCAUUCCAUUGGUGAUGCCUUCAGAAAUUUUAAAAACCUCCGAUCCUUAGAUUUAUCAAGAAACUUGAUCACAAGCCUGAAGGGCAUCCAGUAUUUAUGUUCACUCCAAGACCUGAAUUUAUAUUAUAACAACAUUCCUUCAUUAGUGGAGGUGUCCCGCCUACAGCCUUUACCCUUCCUCAGAGAACUAGAUUUGAGACUCAAUCCUGUUGUCAGGAAAGAUACAGAUUAUAGGCUCUUUGCUGUGUACACGCUACAAACUCUGGAGAAACUGGAUGACCGAGCUGUGCGGGAAAGUGAGAGAAAAGCUGCCAAGCUGCAUUUUAGUCAGUUGGGAAACAGCGAAAAUUUUCUUUUAGAGGUGGAAAAAAGCUCUAGGGAGAAGACAAUGAAAAACUGUGUGACCGAUGAGAGCUCUGCAUCAAAAGUCAAUGCCGAUGUUGAUAACAGAAUUGAAACUGACUCAAACAAAGGACUUUUUAUUCCCUUCCCCAAUCGGGAAAUAAAGGAUUCCAUAAUGAGUACUUCUGCAGCCCCGGGCAGUGGUAUACCAGAUCAGAAAUUAGACACUUUCCCGCUGGGAACACAGGAAGUGGCAAGAAGGGAGAUCCCAAGCGACAGUCACCAGGAAGAUGAAUUUAGACGCUACUCUCCUCGUCAGUCUACGGUCCGAUCCCCAGAGAAGAUGGCUAGAGAAGGGUACCGACUAUCUUUUUUGGACAAUAAGUCUUCAGGUUCUUCUCCAGAAAAGGAUUUGAUACUAAAACCUGAUAAUCACCAGCUUACCCAUGAUGUCUCAUUGGGUAAACGUCUGGAUGUGGGUGAUUCUAGCCAGAUCCAUCCCUAUCAGUUACCUUCAGAUGCUGGUCUAGAAAAUUAUGAUUGUCAUUAUUCUCACAAUCUGUCCCUGCAUGGAAGUCUUGGAAAAAGGCCUCAGAGAAUCAAGAACUACCGUGAAUAUAGCAUAAAGCCUUCAAAUGACAUGAAGGCCACCACAUCCCAUUCCUGUGGAGACUUACUGACUUCUCUGUCAAACCCUGACUCUAGCACCGGAAGGCUUUUGAAGCUUAGUUCAGAUCUGUAUGCCACAACACAUUUCAACAGUGACCCUGCUCUGCUUGUUAAUGUAGAGCAACAAUUAUCUACCAGUCUCAGUGAUGUAACACCAGCACAUGGAUCUUUCCCAAACAAUUCCGCCCUGGGAGACUCUCUACGGACACUGCUAUUGCCUACUGGGACCUCCGAACACAGAGAGAAUCUGACCAAGAGGUCAUUAAGCCCAUCGAGGAGAGGAUUCAAACGGAAGGACAAUAUUCUUGCCACCCUGAAUCCAAAGACUGGUUUCAGAGAUGCUACGGGAAGCGAGCCUCUCUCUAGUGACCUGGGCAGUUUGCAUGGUUUGCCAGGAAACCACAGUCCGCCGAUCUCUGCCAGAACCUCUCAUGUGGCCACUGUCCUCAGACAGCUCUUGGAGCUUGUGGAUAAGCACUGGAAUGGCUCUGGCUCUCUCCUUCUUAACAAGAAGUUUCUCAGUCCUGCCCGAGAUUUACUUCUGACUUUGGUAGUCCCUGCUCCUUCCCAGCAGUGGUGUCACUCACAUCCUGAAGAUACAUCAAAAACCUUCCGCAGGAGAGAGAUGGAACUGAAGGAAGCUGGGCAUGUGGUCCCUAAUGACAUGGAAAGUUUGAAGCAAAAACUGGUCAGAGUGCUAGAAGAAAACCUCGUUUUGUCAGAAAAAAUCAAGCAGUUGGAGGAAGGUGCUGCUACCUUGAUUGUGAGUGGGCACCAGUCACACACUUAUGAUGAUCUUCUGCGCAAAAACCAACAGCUGAACAUGCAGGUGGCUUGCCUGAACCAGGAGCUUGCCCAGCUGAAAAAGCUGGAGGAGACAGUGGCCCUUCUCCAUGAAAGUCAGAGAUCCCUGGUGGUAACUAAUGAGUAUCUGCUGCAGCAGCUGAAUAAAGAGCAAAAAGGUUAUUCUGGGAAAGCACUCCUGCCUCCUGAGAAGAGUCAUCAUUUGGGGAGAUCGUCACCCUUUGGGAAAAGCACGCUGUCUUCCUCCUCACCAGUGGCACAUGACACGGAAAUAGUUGGCACUUAAUCCUACGCAUCAUAUCACAUAGAAACAUUUGGCUGAAAAUGUUGAAAGGAAAAAAACAUCAGACAUUUUUUUGAGUGUCACUUGAAACUAUGUAGUCGAAGGUUAAAAAAGAACAUCAACAGCCAGGGUCGUGUCAGAGAGAGAGACAGACAGGUGGAAAGAUUACACACUUAUUUGCUCCCCUGACCCAGGUACUCUGCAGGGAAGGAGAGCUAUAGCCAAAAUAAUGAGACAUGAAGAUCACAACCAAGAUCGCACACCUCUAAGUUAUAAAUAAAAUCCAAAGACCUCUGAAUUUUACAUGGGUUCUCAAAAGAAGCAUGUACAAAGGAGCCAUAAGUUUCUUUGAGGAGCAUGGCCCUGCAGGAACUCAAGUGAGCUUGUACUCUGUGGAAGUAGUGAGAAUAGCCCCCUUCCUGACUUUCCUAGGCCUGCCCUGGCCCCAUUAAAAGGACCCCAAAAAGUAUAAACCUUGCCCAGGUAGAGUAGGCUCAGCCAGUAGCCUUAUAGCCCUGAGUUGGCUCAGUACACAGGCCAACUUACUGGGUAGACCAUUGAGGGAAAAAUAAUGAACUUCUCAACCCCAGCUCUCCCUUCCUUACCCUAUGGACAUCUAAUAAUGCUAGACCCAAAACACAUUUAGGCUCCCUCUAAGGAGGAGCCGACUGAGUCAAUUACCUUUCACCCUAUUUUCUAUUGGCACUGAAAGUGACUGGUCCUGCCCCAGGCCAGGCACCUCUCUAGGGUUGCUGGCCAUGUCUGGGGGAGUCAACUGUGUUUCCUAAUUUCCCUUGGUCCAGAGGGCAGAGACAGGGAUGGGGGUGUCAAAGAGAGGGCCAAAGAGUUGUUGCCCUGUGGGGCUAAGUGGGCUCAACAUGGAGUAGGGAAGGUUCCUGAAGCAAGUAGAAAGUCAGUGGAGAGGGAUUUCUCACCAUAGGCCUGGCACUGUUGGGAGGAAAAGGGAAACUGGAUGGAAACUGGGAUGGAAACUGGAUUCUCAGGCAAGUUCUACGUCCAAAAGGAGGAGCAGGGCCAAUCUGACAAGUGUAGUCUUCUUGCCAGCCAUACAUAGAGUUUUAAUGGUUCUGUCCCACAGAACCUAACCUCUCUUCCUUGCCUGCCUGGCUGUGCUAGCCAGGGUACCCAUGAGGAGACUGUGGAGGAUGGAACAGUGAGAGCUGAAGGGCUGAAGUGGCAUUAUUUGGGUGGUCGAUGCCACAUACCAGAUUCUGCUAGAUCCAUCAGUCCUUAAGGAGUUUACUGGCUCCAGGAGGGCCUUUAUUUCUCUCAGGUUCCAUAACUACUUUUCAAGAAGAGGUGCUUUACUCCUAUAAGGUAGAGUUUUGUGGCUCAGCCUUUUCUCUCUCUGGACUCCUCUAAGCCAUGUUGCUCAUCAGAGGAGGAGCUGAGCUGCUGCUCUCCUAUACAUUGGAUGGUACUCACCUGCUUAAUAGCCUGGACCAAUUUACAAUACAGUUAAAUUUUCACUAUGGGAAUUAUUUUAGUAAAUGCAAGCCAGAAGGAUUUGGGUUUCAGUCUUAUUUUGCUCACUUAAGUUUGCAAUUCAACAAAUUCCAUAAGGCUGAAGAAAUCAUUCCUCUCACUGUCUGAUGGUGGGAGAGAUAAAGCUCUCUGAAACUCCUCUCUGGGCAGUAUGAGGUCAGCUGAGUCAGGAGGAGCCCAUAGCUGCCAGCUGUUAGACAAGGCUCUGCUGUGGCCAGGUGCUGACCUCCCCACUGAAAUUCCCGUCUCAUUUCCCUAGUGUCCCUGCCCAUACUAUUCUUCUCCAGCCCCACUCCAAAUAGAGUUGGACUCAGGGACUCUAGGCCUACCUGGGGAAGGAACAUCCCAGAACAGUCUAUGGGAUGAGGGAAUAAAGAGCUAUAAGCUUUGCUGCCUUAUCAAUGUCAGAAAAAAAAAAAAAAAAGGCAUUUGUGGGUGUGUAUCUGUUAAGCCUUUUCUAACAUCCUUGGGAGUUGCCCUCUCCUGGGCAGGCCCUAAGUUCCAUCUAGUCUGCUUGUCAGCGGGGAGGAGAGUUGGCCCCAAAGCCUUGGGCUUGGAAAUAGCUAUGGCCUAAUACCCAGAGCCUCAGAGAAGAAAACAGGUUGAUCUCAGGCACCAGAGAUUUCCCCUCUCCUCUCCCAACCUGGGAUGUUGAACAAAUGCGAGGGAAUCAGUAAGCAGCCCCUUCACUGUUGGACAUCCUGCUCACCUGCCAAAGGCUGGAGUUGGGUGCCAGGCUCUAUCACUGGCCAUCCAGCACCAUUUUUGGAAAUCAGUGUUAGGGCUUGCUGUUAGAAAAAGCCUGGCCUGGGGCAAGAGACAUGGUUCUGGGCUCUGUUCUGCAGAGGCCCCCUCACUCUCUGGGCCUCAGCUCUAAAAUUAGGGAGUUGGACUAUCUACUUUCUAACAUGCCUACUGGUCUUGCAUUCUCUGACCUUCUGAGUUAGACCCCAAAAUGACUAACCUUGGUGGCCCCAUUGAGGCAGGGACCUGUCAGCAGACAUACACCUGAGGCCUGGCACUGGGCCCUCCCUAAUACCUGGCCCAGGCCUAGUCUGCUGUCUCAUUCCUCUUUCCUGGAGAGACCAAAACUGAACCCUAAUAGGACAGCAAGCUGUGAUCUUAAGAUUAUGGGUAAAGACAGAGGUGAGAUGCCUUAGAAUUUCCUAAGGAGCAUCCUCAGGCAGUCUGGCUCUGUGCUAAUGGAAGGGGCCUGAUGUAUGUCUUUUUCUGGGGCAGAGUGU